rnacentral:lncRNA from 1 species
GGGUCGUCUCGCGAAGAUCUUCGAUCCUUCGCCAUCGCGAGAAUAUAGCAAUCGAAGAGCUAUCACUCAGCUGCUUCGCGUAUUACGAAAGUAGUAUUACCCGAAGGGGGCAUGAUGCAAGAGCAUAGGUGACUGGUAAGCGUAGGAGGUGUGCCCAAAGGGCAGCGGCAGUAGUGUGGUUCCAGGUGCCGUCGCUAGAUUGAGAUCUG